GCAUCCGUAGCUCAGUAGGAUAGAGCGUCCCCCUCCUAAGGGGAAGGCCGGGGGUUCGAAUCCCUUCGAGUGCACCA
rnacentral:tRNA from 1 species